rnacentral:rRNA from 1 species
GGGUGAAAAGCCCGCUCGCCGGAAGACCAAGGGUUCCUGUCCAACGUUAAUCGGGGCAGGGUGAGUCGACCCCUAAGGCGAGGCCGAAAGGCGUAGUCGAUGGGAAACAGGUUAAUAUUCCUGUACUUGGUGUUACUGCGAAGGGGGGACGGAGAAGGCUAUGUUGGCCGGGCGACGGUUGUCCCGGUUUAAGCGUGUAGGCUGGUUUUCCAGGCAAAUCCGGAAAAUCAAGGCUGAGGCGUGAUGACGAGGCACUACGGUGCUGAAGCAACAAAUGCCCUGCUUCCAGGAAAAGCCUCUAAGCAUCAGGUAACAUCAAAUCGUACCCCAAACCGACACAGGUGGUCAGGUAGAGAAUACCAAGGCGCUUGAGAGAACUCGGGUGAAGGAACUAGGCAAAAUGGUGCCGUAACUUCGGGAGAA